rnacentral:rRNA from 1 species
CAGCCGCCGCGGUAAUACAGAGGGGGCAAGCGUUGUUCGGAAUUACUGGGCGUAAAGGGCGCGUAGGCGGCCGCCUAAGUCGGACGUGAAAUCCCUCGGCUCAACCGGGGAACUGCGUCUGAUACUGGGCGGCUUGAAUCCGGGAGAGGGAUGUGGAAUUCCAGGUGUAGCGGNGAAAUGCGUAGAUAUCUGGAGGAACACCGGUGGCGAAGGCGGCAUCCUGGACCGGCAUUGACGCUGAGGCGCGAAAGCCAGGGGAGCAAACGGGAUUAGAUACCCCGGUAGUCCUGGCCCUAAACGAUGAAUGCUUGGUGUGGCGGGUAUCGAUCCCUGCCGUGCCGAAGCUAACGCAUUAAGCAUUCCGCCUGGGGAGUACGGCCGCAAGGCUAAAACUCAAAGGAAUUGACGG